UACGUAGGUGGCAAGCGUUGUCCGGAUUUACUGGGCGUAAAGCGCCCGCAGGCGCCUGUCAAGUUCGAGGUGAAAUCUCCCGGCUUAACUGGGAGGGUGCCUCGAAAACUGGCAGGCUUGAGGUGUGGAGAGGGAUGCAGAAUUCCUGGUGUAGCGGUGAAAUGCGUAGAUAUUGGGGAGGAACACCAGUGGCGAAGGCGGCUACCUGGACCGGCCCUGACACUGGAGACGCGAAGGCGUGGGGAGCGAACGGG
rnacentral:rRNA from 1 species